GACAGAGGGUGCGAACGUUGCUCGGAAUUACUGGGCGUAAAGCGUGUGUAGGCGGCCACGCAAGUCGGAUGUGAAAGCCCCGGGCUCAACCUGGGAAUUGCAUUCGAGACUGAAUAGCUAGGGUACGGAAGAGGGAAGCGGAAUUUCAGGUGUAGCGGUGAAAUGCGUAGAUAUCAGAAGGAACAUCAGUGGCGAAAGCGGCUUCCUGGUCCAGUACCGACGUUCAGGCACGAAAGCGUGGGGAGCAAACAGG
rnacentral:rRNA from 1 species